rnacentral:lncRNA from 1 species
AGUUUUCCCUUCAGAAAUGUUUUUAAAAAUACCCUAAAUUUAGUAUAGUUAGUAUUUAAAGAACAAGUACACGCUAUCCUGCAAUUCUUGUAUGAGUUGAAUAAUGGAGAAGAGGAAGGCAUCUUGUGAAAAAUUCCCACUGCUAUACAGUGUUCUUUUGUCCUUUGUACAGCUGCUAACAGGACUUCCAUGGAAUGAGAAUGACUACUUCUAGAAGUUCUGCUUGCGUUGUUCUUAACGUCAAGAAGUUCCUUGCUAUAUAUGUAUACUGGUAUCUGGACUGGGGUUGGUUAUUUUUUAACCAGUUUUAUCAGACUGCCUGUUCUUUGUCUAGGCAAAGUUGUAUGAAAUUAUAGGUGUUGCUUUUCUGAUGCUGGGCUUGCUGUAUUGUGUAAUGAUGAAGUAAUAAGAAAAAAGAUAAAAAUAGACAGCCUUAAGAUAUUUAAUAAGUAAUAGUGGAUAAAUUUUGCAAGUAGUAAAAAGCUUAAGUUCUCAAUCUAUAGCUUCCCACAUAUUUUCAUAAACUGUCCAGGCAAACAUUUAUCAGAAAAAAGAUGUAGAAGUGUUAAUAUGUUCGUAGGUAGCUAUGAUCACUUGAAGGCAGCCUCUUUGCUCUGCUUUCACUGUCCUGGAGACAGAAGCUUCUCAAAGCUGUGGAUUUCAGAAGGAACUAAUUUGGUACUAAUGCUGUGCCAGAAGAGUUGGGGAUGAAAGACCUUAGAAGAUCCUCCAGAAAUGUCAUACCAUCAGCAUAUGAAGUUGUACCCCUGUGAGUGGGAGCAUGUCUCCAAACUGGGUCCUAAAGGAGCAGGUUGUGUUUCUGCCACGUGCAGCAAGGAAUCAGAAUGGUUCCCCAUCUUUGUCUGCAGCAGAAAAGGCUCAGGGUGAGGCAGGAAGAGAGAACAGAUCCUGUAAGGCUACAGCAGACCAAGGCAGGGGGCUGAAAACCUUUCCAGACAGCGGUUGCCAGUCUGCCUGUUGCAGCUUGAAGAAGAAAAGCAUGCUGUGAAAACAAUUGGUGCAUUUGCUUUAGAUCUAAGUGACUCCAACUAGGUCGAUGCUUCAUGCUGAUGUGUUGAAAACAUUUAAAAAAUUUCUCAGAGUUUGAUUUCAACUGAAACAUUUCAGCAUGUCUAGCUCUCUGAAGUUGUUAUUUUUCACUAAUCUUGCAGACAACUGUUUUUCUUCCACCCUAACAAAUAGCAGUAGGGAAACUGGGCCUUUUGUCUAGAUAGAUUUGUUUUGAAUGAAGUUUUUUUUUUCUACAGGAGGUGGAGGUUUUUGCUUGUUUGUUUUAAAUAAACUGAGACUCUUGUAAAUUGACUUGAAAGGAGUAGUAGUUUAUUUCAUGAAAGGAAGAAGAGGUAAUCGCGCUUCUACAGAGUGUGAAUGGCUUUACUUAAACUGCUAGCGUUACUUGCAUUUGAAUUUUCAUUCAGAGGCAGACUAGAUAACUCAUAAGUACA